UACGUAGGGUGCAAGCGUUAAUCGGAAUUACUGGGCGUAAAGCGUGCGCAGGCGGUGAUGUAAGACAGAUGUGAAAUCCCCGGGCUCAACCUGGGAACUGCAUUUGUGACUGCAUCGCUGGAGUACGGCAGAGGGGGAUGGAAUUCCGCGUGUAGCAGUGAAAUGCGUAGAGUAUGUGGAGGAACACCGUGCGAGCGAGCAUUCCGUGUCGUAACUGACGCUGAGCGCGAAAGCGUGGGGAGCAAACAGG
rnacentral:rRNA from 1 species